rnacentral:precursor_RNA from 11 species
CCGAUACAUCAAUUCACAUGUAGCAGCGCAUGUAAACAUCCUACACUCUCAGCUGUGAAUUUGUGGUGGCUGGGAGAAGGUUGUUUACACCUUCUGCCAUGGACUAUCACCCAAACACAAC